rnacentral:tRNA from 1 species
GAUAAAGAAAGGAAUUAAACCAAUGUUUACAGGACUACAGCCUGCCGCCUAGCAUUCGGCCACUCUACC